GGGUUGUGAGGUUAAGCGACUAAGCGUACACGGUGGAUGCCCUGGCAGUCAGAGGCGAUGAAGGGCGUGCUAAUCUGCGAUAAGCGCCGGUAAGGUGAUAUGAACCGUUAUAACCGGCGAUACCCGAAUGGGGAAACCCAGUGUGAUUCGUCACACUAUCAUUAACUGAAUCCAUAGGUUAAUGAGGCGAACCGGGGGAACUGAAACAUCUAAGUACCCCGAGGAAAAGAAAUCAACCGAGAUUCCCCCAGUAGCGGCGAGCGAACGGGGAGGAGCCCAGAGCCUGAAUCAGCAUGUGUGUUAGUGGAAGCGUCUGGAAAGGCGCGCGAUACAGGGUGACAGCCCCGUACACAAAAGCGCAUGUGCUGUGAGCUCGAUGAGUAGGGCGGGACACGUGGUAUCCUGUCUGAAUAUGGGGGGACCAUCCUCCAAGGCUAAAUACUCCUGACUGACCGAUAGUGAACCAGUACCGUGAGGGAAAGGCGAAAAGAACCCCGGCGAGGGGAGUGAAAAAGAACCUGAAACCGUGUACGUACAAGCAGUGGGAGCACCCUUUGGGGUGUGACUGCGUACCUUUUGUAUAAUGGGUCAGCGACUUAUAUUCUGUAGCAAGGUUAACCGUAUAGGGGAGCCGGAGGGAAACCGAGUCUUAAUUGGGCGUUAAGUUGCAGGGUAUAGACCCGAAACCCGGUGAUCUAGCCAUGGGCAGGUUGAAGGUUGGGUAACACUAACUGGAGGACCGAACCGACUAAUGUUGAAAAAUUAGCGGAUGACCUGUGGCUGGGGGUGAAAGGCCAAUCAAACCGGGAGAUAGCUGGUUCUCCCCGAAAGCUAUUUAGGUAGCGCCUCGUGAAUUCAUCUCCGGGGGUAGAGCACUGUUUCGGCUAGGGGGCCAUCCCGGCUUACCAACCCGAUGCAAACUGCGAAUACCGGAGAAUGUUAUCACGGGAGACACACGGCGGGUGCUAACGUCCGUCGUGAAGAGGGAAACAACCCAGACCGCCAGCUAAGGUCCCAAAGUCAUGGUUAAGUGGGAAACGAUGUGGGAAGGCCCAGACAGCCAGGAUGUUGGCUUAGAAGCAGCCAUCAUUUAAAGAAAGCGUAAUAGCUCACUGGUCGAGUCGGCCUGCGCGGAAGAUGUAACGGGGCUAAACCAUGCACCGAAGCUGCGGCAGCGACGCUUAUGCGUUGUUGGGUAGGGGAGCGUUCUGUAAGCCUGUGAAGGUGUGUCGUGAGGCAUGCUGGAGGUAUCAGAAGUGCGAAUGCUGACAUAAGUAACGAUAAAGCGGGUGAAAAGCCCGCUCGCCGGAAGACCAAGGGUUCCUGUCCAACGUUAAUCGGGGCAGGGUGAGUCGACCCCUAAGGCGAGGCCGAAAGGCGUAGUCGAUGGGAAACGGGUUAAUAUUCCCGUACUUGGUGUUACUGCGAAGGGGGGACGGAGAAGGCUAUGUUGGCCGGGCGACGGUUGUCCCGGUUUAAGCGUGUAGGUGUGUGUUCCAGGUAAAUCCGGUUCACUUUAACACUGAGGCGUGAUGACGAGGCACUACGGUGCUGAAGCAACAAAUGCCCUGCUUCCAGGAAAAGCCUCUAAGCAUCAGGUAACAUCAAAUCGUACCCCAAACCGACACAGGUGGUCAGGUAGAGAAUACCAAGGCGCUUGAGAGAACUCGGGUGAAGGAACUAGGCAAAAUGGUGCCGUAACUUCGGGAGAAGGCACGCUGACACGUAGGUGAAGUGAUUUACUCACGGAGCUGAAGUCAGUCGAAGAUACCAGCUGGCUGCAACUGUUUAUUAAAAACACAGCACUGUGCAAACACGAAAGUGGACGUAUACGGUGUGACGCCUGCCCGGUGCCGGAAGGUUAAUUGAUGGGGUCAGCGCAAGCGAAGCUCCUGAUCGAAGCCCCGGUAAACGGCGGCCGUAACUAUAACGGUCCUAAGGUAGCGAAAUUCCUUGUCGGGUAAGUUCCGACCUGCACGAAUGGCGUAAUGAUGGCCAGGCUGUCUCCACCCGAGACUCAGUGAAAUUGAACUCGCUGUGAAGAUGCAGUGUACCCGCGGCAAGACGGAAAGACCCCGUGAACCUUUACUAUAGCUUGACACUGAACAUUGAGCCUUGAUGUGUAGGAUAGGUGGGAGGCUUUGAAGUGUGGACGCCAGUCUGCAUGGAGCCGACCUUGAAAUACCACCCUUUAAUGUUUGAUGUUCUAACGUGGACCCGU
rnacentral:rRNA from 1 species